AAAAUCCGUCGGCUUUA
rnacentral:tRNA from 1 species